UACAGAGGUCUCAAGCGUUGUUCGGAUUCAUUGGGCGUAAAGGGUGCGUAGGCGGCGCGGUAAGUCGGGUGUGAAAUCUCGGAGCUUAACUCCGAAACUGCAUUCGAUACUGCCGUGCUUGAGGACUGGAGAGGAGACUGGAAUUUACGGUGUAGCGGUGAAAUGCGUAGAUAUCAGGAGGAACACCAAUAGCGAAGGCAGCUCGCUGGGACGGUACUGACACUAAGGCGCGAAAGCGUGGGGAGCGAACAGG
rnacentral:rRNA from 1 species